rnacentral:rRNA from 1 species
UACGUAGGGCGCGAGCGUUGUCCGGAUUUAUUGGGCGUAAAGAGCUCGUAGGCGGUUUGUCGCGUUGUUCGUGAAAACUCACAGCUUAACUGUGGGCGUGCGGGCGAUACGGGCAGACUGGAGUACUGCAGGGGAGACUGGAAUUCCUGGUGUAGCGGUGGAAUGCGCAGAUAUCAGGAGGAACACCGGUGGCAAAGGCGGGUCUCUGGGCAGUAACUGACGCUGAGGAGCGAAAGCGUGGGGAGCGAACAGG